ACUCCAGAGGUGAUAUGGCACUGCCCAUAUCACUCCGGCAGCAAGCGAAGGUGUCAUUGACACCCGUGGUAUAGUCCCCCGGCUAUACCACGAUAUUUUUUU
rnacentral:ncRNA from 1 species